UGUAAGCGUAUACCAAAGUUGUUGCAGUUAAAACGCUCGUAGUCGGACUUUGGCAGUUCCGGAUGUGUGCACGUCGUGUGCGCACUUCGCGGGGAUUGCUUUUGUGGUCUUGCGUAGGAUGAGGCACUUUUAUUAGUGAACGUCCUCACGCAACCACUUUUUACUGUGAGAAAAUCAGAGUGCUCAAAGCAGGCAUUUGCCGUGAAUGUAUUAGCAUGGAAUAAUAGAAUAGGACUUGGUUCUAUUUUGUUGGUUUGUUGGGACUGAGUAAUGAUUAAGAGGGACAGUUGGGGGCAUUUGUAUUUCGGUGCUAGAGGUGAAAUUCUUAGAUUACCGAAAGACAAACUGCUGCGAAAGCGUCUGCCAAGGAUGUUUUCAUUGAC
rnacentral:rRNA from 1 species